rnacentral:misc_RNA from 1 species
GAAAUGCGAUAAGUAAUGUGAAUUGCAGAAUUCAGUGAAUCAUCGAAUCUUUGAACGCACAUUGCGCCCGCCAGUAUUCUGGCGGGCAUGCCUGUUCGAGCGUCAUUUCAACCAUCAAGCCCCCGGCUUGUGUUGGGGACCUGCGGCUGCCCGCAGGCCCUGAAAAACAGUGGCGGGCUCGCUGUCACACCGAGCGUAGUAGCAUACAUUCUCGCUCAGGGCGUGCUGCGGGUUCCGGCCGUUAAACGACCUUCAUAACCCAAGGGUGACCUCGGAUCAGGUAGGAAGACCCGCUGAACUUAAGC